GGUGAACGCUGGCGAUGUGCCUAACACAUGCAAGUCGAACGAGAUCUUCGGGUCUAGUGGCGCACGGGUGCGUAACGCGUGGGAAUCUGCCCUUUGGUUCGGAAUAACAGUUGGAAACGACUGCUAAUACCGGAUGAUGACGAAAGUCCAAAGAUUUAUCGCCAGAGGAUGAGCCCGCGUAGGAUUAGCUAGUUGGUGUGGUAAAGGCGCACCAAGGCGACGAUCCUUAGCUGGUCUGAGAGGAUGAUCAGCCACACUGGGACUGAGACACGGCCCAGACUCCUACGGGAGGCAGCAGUGGGGAAUAUUGGACAAUGGGCGAAAGCCUGAUCCAGCAAUGCCGCGUGAGUGAUGAAGGCCUUAGGGUUGUAAAGCUCUUUUACCCGGGAUGAUAAUGACAGUACCGGGAGAAUAAGCUCCGGCUAACUCCGUGCCAGCCGCCGCCGUAA
rnacentral:rRNA from 1 species